UCUGACGGAGCACGCCGCGUGAGUGAUGAAGGUUUUCGGAUCGUAAAGCUCUGUUGUUAGGGAAGAACAAGUGCAAGAGUAACUGCUUGCACCUUGACGGUACCUAACCAGAAAGCCACGGCUAACUACGUGCCAGCAGCCGCGGUAAUACGUAGGUGGCAAGCGUUGUCCGGAAUUAUUGGGCGUAAAGGGCUCGCAGGCGGUUUCUUAAGUCUGAUGUGAAAGCCCCCGGCUCAACCGGGGAGGGUCAUUGGAAACUGGGAAACUUGAGUGCAGAAGAGGAGAGUGGAAUUCCACGUGUAGCGGUGAAAUGCGUAGAGAUGUGGAGGAACACCAGUGGCGAAGGCGACUCUCUGGUCUGUAACUGACGCUGAGGAGCGAAAGCGUGGGGAGCGAACAGGAUUAGAUACCCUGGUAGUCCACGCCGUAAACGAUGAGUGCUAAGUGUUAGGGGGUUUCCGCCCCUUAGUGCUGCAGCUAACGCAUUAAGCACUCCGCCUGGGGAGUACGGUCGCAAGACUGAAACUCAAAGGAAUUGACGGGGGCCCGCACAAGCGGUGGAGCAUGUGGUUUAAUUCGAAGCAACGCGAAGAACCUUACCAGGUCUUGACAUCCUCUGACAACCCUAGAGAUAGGGCUUUCCCUUCGGGGACAGAGUGACAGGUGGUGCAUGGUUGUCGUCAGCUCGUGUCGUGAGAUGUUGGGUUAAGUCCCGCAACGAGCGCAACCCUUGAUCUUAGUUGCCAGCAUUCAGUUGGGCACUCUAAGGUGACUGCCGGUGACAAACCGGAGGAAGGUGGGGAUGACGUCAAAUCAUCAUGCCCCUUAUGACCUGGGCUACACACGUGCUACAAUGG
rnacentral:rRNA from 1 species